rnacentral:misc_RNA from 1 species
GUGAAUCAUCGAAUCUUUGAACGCAAAUUGCACUCUCCUCGGAGAGUAUGCCUGUUUGAGGGUCAGCCUAUAAAAAAUCGACAUCGUUGCUGUUUCACGGUGACUUUCGUCGGAAAUUGGGUCAUCUUAAAUCUUUUGGGUUUAAGCGCCUUAAAUUUUUCUUUUUUAUUCCAUGAACGUGUUUCUAAGAUUUAUUUCUUUACACGUUUAAUGUAUCUAUUUUUAUUAUACGUGGCCUUCAUAUCGGAUCGCGUCCAUAAUUUUUCGCUAACUUACCUCAGACAGGUA